GACGAACGCUGGCGGCGUGCUUAACACAUGCAAGUCGAGCGGAAAGGCCCUUCGGGGUACUCGAGCGGCGAACGGGUGAGUAACACGUGAGUAAUCUGCCCUUGGCUUUGGGAUAACUACCGGAAACGGUGGCUAAUACCUGAUACGACAACCGUCUGCAUUGGCUGGUUGUGGAAAGUUUUUUCGGCCAGGGAUGUGCUCGCGGCCUAUCAGCUUGUUGGUGGGGUAAUGGCCUACCAAGGCUUCGACGGGUAGCCGGCCUGAGCGGGGGACCGGCCACACUGGGACUGAGACACGGGCCAGACUCCUCCGGGAGGAAGCAGUGGGGAAGAUUGGACAAUGGGCGGAAGCCUGAGCCAGCAACGCCGCGUGAGGGAUGACGGGCUUCGGGUUGUAAACCUCUUUCAGUACCGACGAAGCGCCGAUGAUGGUGGUGACGGUAGGUACAGAAGAAGCACCGGCCAACUACGUG
rnacentral:rRNA from 1 species